rnacentral:rRNA from 1 species
AAUCCAUAGGUUAAUGAGGCGAACCGGGGGAACUGAAACAUCUAAGUACCCCGAGGAAAAGAAAUCAACCGAGAUUCCCCCAGUAGCGGCGAGCGAACGGGGAGGAGCCCAGAGCCUGAAUCAGCAUGUGUGUUAGUGGAAGCGUCUGGAAAGGCGCGCGAUACAGGGUGACAGCCCCGUACACAAAAGCGCAUGUGCUGUGAGCUCGAUGAGUAGGGCGGGACACGUGGUAUCCUGUCUGAAUAUGGGGGGACCAUCCUCCAAGGCUAAAUACUCCUGACUGACCGAUAGUGAACCAGUACCGUGAGGGAAAGGCGAAAAGAACCCCGGCGAGGGGAGUGAAAAAGAACCUGAAACCGUGUACGUACAAGCAGUGGGAGCACAGGUUUACCUGUGUGACUGCGUACCUUUUGUAUAAUGGGUCAGCGACUUAUAUUCUGUAGCAAGGUUAACCGAAUAGGGGAGCCGGAGGGAAACCGAGUCUUAAUUGGGCGUUAAGUUGCAGGGUAUAGACCCGAAACCCGGUGAUCUAGCCAUGGGCAGGUUGAAGGUUGGGUAACACUAACUGGAGGACCGAACCGACUAAUGUUGAAAAAUUAGCGGAUGACCUGUGGC